GUGAUAACGAACAGUCCAUUACAUAGAAGAAAAAUGACAGCAAUUCUGUAUAUUUUUUUCACUCUCUGCCUUAGACACCAGAUUCUAGAGAUCGCGGGAUGCACAGUCCAAGUCAAAGGAAUAACAUCUAAUAUUCCGGAGUACCAAGUGAGUGAUGACGAAAAUGGAUGGAAAAUUACGAUUACUGAAGAAAGAGAAAACCUCUGGAGACAGGGAGUGAUAAAUCGAGCACUUGAAAUUUAAAUCGAAUCCUUUCAAUGUUCGAGUUCAAAACAGCAAUCAUAGGACCCACCGAGGAAAUAAAAGAAAUCGAAGGAGAAAUUUGUAUGGAAGACGACGAAACCGCAGAAUCAGUCAUUGCCCAGAUACUCCGUACAGCAAUGAAUUACGAUGAUUGCCCUCUCCCUGUGAGUGAAUAUGAGGUGGUGAACGAAUUUGAAAUUGAAGUAAGUCCCCUUGAAGAGUAUUUACCUUCAGGUUUUACUCAAGCAUAUGCAGCAAUUGGUCUUUAUGGACCAGAUAAUGACGGUUCGGCGGAUGCAGAUGCAAUUUGGUUCAUCGCGAUAAACGAAUGAAAAAAAAAAAAAAA